GGUGGCUCAGUGGUAGAGUGCUUGCCUUGCAUGCAUGAGGCCCUGGGUUCGAUUCCACAGCACCA
rfam:Dipodomys ordii contig_61292, whole genome shotgun sequence.